CGGGUGGGCCGACGCUGCUCCUGGUCCCGUUCAUCGGUGGCACUGGCUGCACAUCUCAUCGUGGUCGAGAUUCUCCAAUACCAUUCGCCCGCGCGCCGCGCUCGUCCUGCGGAACGCCCUAGCCGCCAACCCUCCACGUCAAGCCCGGCCCCUCCGCCUCGUCUCCUCCCCGUCCCUCCUCUCCAACGCCGCCGCCCUCGAUGCGCCAUCGACACGUCAGGGAUACACCGUGAUGGAGCUCAGCCCGAGCCCAGUAGAAGCCACUCCUAACCAUGUUCGCUCGAUUGACAGGAGCAGGGCAGCGGAUUGGAUCGAGGGCGCCCGCAUGGCCUCGCCGCUGCUGUCACCUGGAUUCGCUAGCCGCCGCCUUGAGUCACAUCCGUCGCCGCCGUGAGUCAGCUCCACCGUUGCUGCCAGGAAUCUCGUCCCCGGCAAGGAAAAUUCCUAGGGAUUUUAUUGACGGAGGCAUCACUAUCUGGCGCUGGAUUAUCCAUUUUUGCAGCACUAGCAAUGCUGUUUUUGUUUGGAAUUUCCAGUUCUCAAUAUCUAUUCUAUUAUCAACUAUACUAUACUUCUUGUCAGGUUACAUUAUCUUACUUGGUUUCAGUGUAAAUGUAGCACAAAAAGAGGUACUCCCUCCGUUCUAAAUUAGUUGUCGUAAGUAUGGAUGUAUCUAGAUGUAUUUUAGUUCUAGAUACAUCCAUUUCUGCGACGAGUAAUAUAGAACGGAGGGAGUAACAUGGUUGUUUUCAUGUUCGAUUUGGUUUGUAGCACACUACGGAACACCAUAAGGGAAAGGGCAUUGCACUUCUUUAUUUAUAAUUGGCCUGUUGCUAUUCGGUUUGCUAUAGUACUUAAUUGAUACACCAUUUCAAGUUAUGUAGUCUAAAAUAACCCUUUCAAAUGAACUUUUUUAGUUGAUCUUCAGAGCAUCAACAUGGUGGACUAGAUUAUGAAAUCAACUAUGAUCAUGAGAACUUGAAGCUAUUUGUUGACAGAAUUGUCAAUUUUUUUGCAUGAAUUGAAACUGGCAGUGUGAUACAUCACCGUAGAUGCUUUGCUGUGUAUACAUGCGCCUAAUCCUCUCUUUCUCUCUAAUCUGUUCUCUUGUGUGAAGAUCCUUUGCAGAUCAAUUGCCGAGGCAGAAUGCUAGGUGGCUCAUGCCAAGCAUCGUUUCACAUUCAGGGGGGUUUACUCUCCCUCGAGGUAAGCGUGGAUGCAAUGGAUAUUGAUUUUGGCUUGGGUGCAAAUUGAGUACUGACGACUUUCCAGUUUAGGCAACAUUUCGAAAUUGUUUGGCUUCCAUGAAUUUCCCGAUGAGUUUGGCCUGCACCACGCUGCCUCAUGUAGGAUUUUGGCGCUCGUGAUUUUCCUUGCUUAGCAAACUACUAUGGUUGCUGAUCCAUCACAAUAUUGACCAUGAACUUUGUGCAUCUUUGAGGUUAUUUUGGAAACGGAAGGAUAUCUUCGUGGUCAGCACAUCGGUGUCUUAAAGCUGCUUCUUGUGUCACUGCGCCGGCAAAGUGCAAGAACAAACAUGGAUGUAUCAGUGUAUAUAAUUGUAUCUUUAUUUUUUCAUUGAUUUAAGAUACUCACAUAUACUGUAUAUGGUUACCAAUGCUCUACAAUACCCACAUAAUUGUUGGUUCUAAUUGGCUUCUGUAUCAGAGAGUCAAGCCAACUUGACAAA